rnacentral:rRNA from 1 species
UACAGAGGGUGCAAGCGUUAAUCGGAAUUACUGGGCGUAAAGCGUGCGUAGUCGGUUAUCUAAGUCGGAUGUGAAAUCCCCGGGCUCAACCUGGGAAUUGCAUUCGAUACUGGAUAGCUAGAGUUCGGCAGAGGGAAGUGGAAUUUCGGGUGUAGCGGUGAAAUGCGUAGAUAUCUGGAGGAAUACCGGUGGCGAAGGCGGCAUCCUGGACCGACAUUGACGCUGAUGAGCGAAAGCUAGGGGAGCAAACGGG